rnacentral:rRNA from 1 species
AGCGAACGCUGGCGGCAGGCUUAACACAUGCAAGUCGAGCGGGCACUUCGGUGUCAGCGGCAGACGGGUGAGUAACACGUGGGAACGUACCCUUCGGUUCGCAAUAACGCUGGGAAACUAGCGCUAAUACCGGAUACGCCCUUUUGGGGAAAGGUUUACUGCCGAAGGAUCGGCCCGCGUCUGAUUAGCUAGUUGGUGGGGUAAUGGCCUACCAAGGCGACGAUCAGUAGCUGGUCUGAGAGGAUGAUCAGCCACACUGGGACUGAGACACGGCCCAGACUCCUACGGGAGGCAGCAGUGGGGAAUAUUGGACAAUGGGCGCAAGCCUGAUCCAGCCAUGCCGCGUGAGUGAUGAAGGCCUUAGGGUUGUAAAGCUCUUUUGUCCGGGACGAUAAUGACGGUACCGGAAGAAUAAGCCCCGGCUAACUUCGUG